AUCCUCGUUGAACGGAAGCAAACCCUUCUGGUCAAAGAGGUAGAUGUACCUCACUGAUUGGAAGGGUUUCCUUCCGGUCAACGAGGUACAUGUACCUCAUCGACCGGAAGGAAACCCUUCCAAUUGAUGAGGUACACCUUCCUCAUCGACCGGAAGGAAACCCUUCCGUUCAACCUGGUU
rnacentral:miRNA from 1 species